UGCAAGUCGAACGCUUUGUGGUUCAACUGAUUUGAAGAGCUUGCUCAGAUAUGACGAUGGACAUUGCAAAGAGUGGCGAACGGGUGAGUAACACGUGGGAAACCUACCUCUUAGCAGGGGAUAACAUUUGGAAACAGAUGCUAAUACCGUAUAACAAUAGCAACCGCAUGGUUGCUACUUAAAAGAUGGUUCUGCUAUCACUAAGAGAUGGUCCCGCGGUGCAUUAGUUAGUUGGUGAGGUAAUGGCUCACCAAGACGAUGAUGCAUAGCCGAGUUGAGAGACUGAUCGGCCACAAUGGGACUGAGACACGGCCCAUACUCCUACGGGAGGCAGCAGUAGGGAAUCUUCCACAAUGGGCGAAAGCCUGAUGGAGCAACGCCGCGUGUGUGAUGAAGGGUUUCGGCUCGUAAAACACUGUUGUAAGAGAAGAAUGACAUUGAGAGUAACUGUUCAAUGUGUGACGGUAUCUUACCAGAAAGGAACGGCUAAAUACGUGCCAGCAGCCGCGGUAAUACGUAUGUUCCAAGCGUUAUCCGGAUUUAUUGGGCGUAAAGCGAGCGCAGACGGUUAUUUAAGUCUGAAGUGAAAGCCCUCAGCUCAACUGAGGAAUUGCUUUGGAAACUGGAUGACUUGAGUGCAGUAGAGGAAAGUGGAACUCCAUGUGUAGCGGUGAAAUGCGUAGAUAUAUGGAAGAACACCAGUGGCGAAGCGGCUUUCUGGACUGUAACUGACGUUGAGGCUCGAAAGUGUGGGUAGCAAACAGGAUUAGA
rnacentral:rRNA from 1 species